rnacentral:rRNA from 1 species
ACGAACGCUGGCGGCGUGCCUAAUACAUGCAAGUCGAACGAAACUUUCUUACACCGAAUGCUUGCAUUCACCGUAAGAAGUUGAGUGGCGGACGGGUGAGUAACACGUGGGUAACCUGCCUAAAAGAAGGGGAUAACACUUGGAAACAGGUGCUAAUACCGUAUAUCUCUAAGGAUCGCAUGAUCCUUAGAUGAAAGAUGGUUCUGCUAUCGCUUUUAGAUGGACCCGCGGCGUAUUAACUAGUUGGUGGGGUAACGGCCUACCAAGGUGAUGAUACGUAGCCGAACUGAGAGGUUGAUCGGCCACAUUGGGACUGAGACACGGCCCAAACUCCUACGGGAGGCAGCAGUAGGGAAUCUUCCACAAUGGACGCAAGUCUGAUGGAGCAACGCCGCGUGAGUGAAGAAGGUCUUCGGAUCGUAAAACUCUGUUGUUAGAGAAGAACACGAGUGAGAGUAACUGUUCAUUCGAUGACGGUAUCUAACCAGCAAGUCACGGCUAACUACGUGCCAGCAGCCGCGGUAAUACGUAGGUGGCAAGCGUUGUCCGGAUUUAUUGGGCGUAAAGGGAACGCAGGCGGUCUUUUAAGUCUGAUGUGAAAGCCUUCGGCUUAACCGGAGUAGUGCAUUGGAAACUGGAAGACUUGAGUGCAGAAGAGGAGAGUGGAACUCCAUGUGUAGCGGUGAAAUGCGUAGAUAUAUGGAAGAACACCAGUGGCGAAAGCGGCUCUCUGGUCUGUAACUGACGCUGAGGUUCGAAAGCGUGGGUAGCAAACAGGAUUAGAUACCCUGGUAGUCCAUGCCGUAAACGAUGAUUACUAGGUGUUGGAGGAUUGACCCCUUCAGUGCCGCAGUUAACACAAUAAGUAAUCCACCUGGGGAGUACGACCGCAAGGUUGAAACUCAAAGGAAUUGACGGGGGCCCGCACAAGCGGUGGAGCAUGUGGUUUAAUUCGAAGCAACGCGAAGAACCUUACCAGGUCUUGACAUCCGAUGCAUAGCGCAGAGAUGCGUGAAGUCCUUCGGGACAUCGAGACAGGUGGUGCAUGGUUGUCGUCAGCUCGUGUCGUGAGAUGUUGGGUUAAGUCCCGCAACGAGCGCAACCCUUGUUGUCAGUUGCCAGCAUUAAGUUGGGCACUCUGGCGAGACUGCCGGUGACAAACCGGAGGAAGGUGGGGACGACGUCAAGUCAUCAUGCCCCUUAUGACCUGGGCUACACACGUGCUACAAUGGACGGUACAACGAGUCGCGAGACCGCGAGGUUUAGCUAAUCUCUUAAAGCCGUUCUCAGUUCGGAUUGUAGGCUGCAACUCGCCUACAUGAAGUCGGAAUCGCUAGUAAUCGCGAAUCAGCAUGUCGCGGUGAAUACGUUCCCGGGCCUUGUACACACCGCCCGUCACACCAUGAGAGUUUGUAACACCCAAAGCCGGUGGGGUAACCGCAAGGAGCCAGCCGUCUAAGGUGGGACAGAUGAUUGGGGUG